rnacentral:miRNA from 1 species
GCUCACGGGAGUUCUUGGUUUCA